AGUCGAACGGAGCACCCUUGAUUGAGGUUUCGGCCAAAUGAUAGGAAUGCUUAGUGGCGGACUGGUGAGUAACGCGUGAGGAACUUGCCUUUCAGAGGGGGACAACAGUUGGAAACGACUGCUAAUACCGCAUGACGCAUUUUGAUCGCAUGGUCGAAAUGCCAAAGAUUUAUCGCUGAAAGAUGGCCUCGCGUCUGAUUAGCUAGUUGGCGGGGUAACGGCCCACCAAGGCGACGAUCAGUAGCCGGACUGAGAGGUUGACCGGCCACAUUGGGACUGAGAUACGGCCCAGACUCCUACGGGAGGCAGCAGUGGGGAAUAUUGGGCAAUGGGCGCAAGCCUGACCCAGCAACGCCGCGUGAAGGAAGAAGGCUUUCGGGUUGUAAACUUCUUUUAAGUGGGAAGAGUAGAAGACGGUACCACUUGAAUAAGCCACGGCUAACUACGUGCCAGCAGCCGCGGUAAUACGUAGGUGGCAAGCGUUGUCCGGAUUUACUGGGUGUAAAGGGCGUGCAGCCGGGCAUGCAAGUCAGAUGUGAAAUCUCAGGGCUUAACCCUGAAACUGCAUUUGAAACUGUAUGUCUUGAGUGCCGGAGAGGUAAUCGGAAUUCCUUGUGUAGCGGUGAAAUGCGUAGAUAUAAGGAAGAACACCAGUGGCGAAGGCGGAUUACUGGACGGUAACUGACGGUGAGGCGCGAAAGCGUGGGGAGCGAACAGGAUUAGAUACCCUGGUAG
rnacentral:rRNA from 1 species